rnacentral:misc_RNA from 1 species
CAUACAAUGUCCACAGCAACGGGCUGUUAUGUCACGGUAUCAACGGACGCUUUAUGUUAUUUUGUGCUCUACCAAGGGUAACAUGUCGACAGGUCAGGUAUACACAGUACCCGAGUGUUUCAAGCAUACCCUAGAAACCACCGCCACUGUAGAAAUCGGAUCUUUAUGAUGUGAUAUCACCGAGGGAUUUCUAUCAGGUGUUGUCUGGUACUAUCUGAUUGGGAAGAUGUGGAGCUGCCAGUAUAUCGCAUGGGCAAUAUUGUUAUUCGGGGCAAUUCUUGGGAUUGAUUCAGCCUCGCUAGCAGCCGAGAGGGUGUCAGAGGCUGUUUCUAUAACUCUCUACCGGCUUGAGGCAGACGAUUGGUCAAGUAAAUCCGCAGCCUUUAAAACAGUUGUGGCCGAUGGCGCCAAUGUAUACUGUGAAGCAUACCCUUCGGCCUGUGGCUUCCUCUACUGGGACAGCAAUGCCGCGUUUGGCGGGUCGUUGGUGGGAGAAAACCAAGUUGUCGUGGACGCCAAGAAUCUCAAGGUCAACUUCUACAUACAGUUCCAUGCUCUUGCCAAUAUCUCAUCUGUCUCCAAGACACAAUUUGUCUUGAACUAUAUUGCAUUUAAGACCAUUGUCCAGAGCGUUCGCCUUGAUAUCGCUUCGGCAGUUGGUGCGCCUGUGACGUAUGUAGACACGGAGUUCUACGGCAUCCCUCCCGCCAACCUAGCCAACCGGGUCAUCAUCCCCGUCGCCGUCGUCGUCUUACUCGUCAUCAUCGUCAUUGCCAUCGCACUCCACUUGUGGAACAAACGACAGAAAAAAAACAAAAAGAGUCGUGCGAGACGUGAUCUGACGUCAGCGAAGGUGACGCCCAUUCACACCACACACGGCGCUACUGGUAAACACGCCGACACUCACAACAACUUGAACGGAAGUAAUGUAAACAACACUGAAAAGGGGGCCCACCAAAUGAAGGAAAUAUUACCCAGCACCCCACAAUCGCACCCACAGAAACUCCCCCCUGUAAACGGGUUCAUGGAAGAUGAAACACAGCACCGAAACGCAGCACGAGCCGUAUCUGUAGAAGACACUGAAGGUGAACACCGGAAAGACAAGAAACGGAAGAAGAAGAGGAAGAAGCGUCAUCACCGGGAUUCUGAAUCUGGCUAUGACCACAAUCAAUCGGACAACGAAAACACCCGAACACACACGAUUACGUCUCAAGAACGUCACCAGUAUGGUAACGACGUGUACGACAGCGACCCUUGUUAGUUACGAUACAAAGACGAUUGUUUGAUGAUGUUAAUUUUUUAAAUCAGAAAUGUUACAGAACCUGCGUUCGUAGUCUGUAUUCGGAACAGUUAGAAAAACACGUAGCUUUUCUCUACAAUGAAUAUAACCACCAUUACAUGGGCUGUCAUAAUCCAAAUAAUAUGGGUAUGGUCAAGUUGGUCAAAGAGAUGGUUUGUAAAAAAUAAUAUGGGUAUGGUCAAGUUGGUCAAAGAGAUGGUUUGUAAAAUUGGUUUACGUUUAUUUAGGUUUAAUACGAACUAUAUAUAUUUGGGUUAUUAUGAGACAGUGCUAUUUAUCAUAACGACAUGAGCUUAGGGCAUUAUGUAAACUUAUAUUUACUCGUAGUUUUAAUAACUAGUAUUUUGUAUUCUUAACCUUGCUAUGUACACUUUAGAAUGUACUGUAUUAUACAGCGUAACACUAGCAAAAUCAUAUGGUGACAAGAAAACGUAAACGAUACAAAAUCGGUAAUCAUAAUUUUUAACGUUAGAUACGCCUGAACUUUUACCAGUUUAUGAAUCUCAAAAACACUCAUCAAUGCUCAUUUGAGACACUGCGCGCCGAAGUCGUAUCUGACCUGAAUAUCAAGGAAUCGUGGAUAGUGCUGCCAUGAAGGUCAGAGACUGGAGGGAAACCAUCUUUGCGUAUGUUUGUUUAUCUUGUCUUACCUUUGUAAAUAUACAGUGCUGUUUAUAAUUUAUGUUUUUAAUGUAGCGACCAUUCUGUGUUAGAUCACAACGAUUUGUAUUGAACACCUCACCAGCUUUAAAAAAAAGUUUAUUUCUCGACUCUUCAUACAUCCCCCUACCCCCUCAUACGUUUUUACGCUGUUGCUACAGUUUAUCCUGUGUAUAUAACGGUAACCAUGUCAUCAUUUAUCCCGAUACAAAGGUGACCUGCAGUAGCUGUGCGGUAUUCAGUAGCUUCAGUUGCGGUAUUCAGUAGCUACAGGUGCGGUAUUCAGUAGCUACAGGUGCGGUAUUCAGUAGCUUCAGGUGCGGUAUUCAGUAGCUUCAGGUGCGGUAUUCAGUAGCUACAGGUGCGGUGCGGUAUUCAGUAGCUACAGGUGCGGUAUUCAGUAGCUUCAGGUGCGGUAUUCAGUAGCUUCAGGUGCGGUAUUCAGUAGUUACAGGUGCGGUAUUCAGUAGCUACAGGUGCGGUAUUCAGUAGCUUCAGGUGCGGUAUUCAGUAGCUUCAGGUGCGGUAUUCAGUAGCUACAGGUGCGGUAUUCAGUAGCUUCAGGUGCGGUAUUCAGUAGCUACAGGUGCGGUAUUCAGUAGCUACAGGUGCGGUAUUCAGUAGCUACAGGUGCGGUAUUCAGUAGCUUCAGGUCCGGUAUUCAGUAGCCACAGGUGCGGUAUUCAGUAGCUUCAGGUGCGGUAUUCAGUAGCUUCGUGUACCUAUACACUACG